rnacentral:rRNA from 1 species
ACUACGGGAGGCUGCAGUGGGGAAUAUUGGACAAUGGGGGAAACCCUGAUGCAGCGACGCCGCGUGAGUGAAGAAGUAUUUAGGUAUGUAAAGCUCCUUUAGCAGGGGAGAAAAUGACGGUACCUGUUUAAGAAUCCCCGGCCAACUACGUGCCAGCAGCCGCGGUAAUACGGAGGGGGCCAGCGUUAUCCGGAUUUACUGGGUGUUAAGGGGGCGUAGACGGCAGCACAAGUCAGGAGUGAAAUGCCGGGGCUUAACCCCGGAACUGCAUUUGAUACUGUGCAGCUAGAGUGCAGGAGAGGUAAGUGGAAUUCGUGGUGUAGCGGUGAAAUGCGUAGAUAUUAGGAAGAACACCAGUGGCGAAGGCAGCUUACUGGACUGUAACUGACGCUGAUGCGCGAAAGCGUGGGGAGCAAACAGGAUUAGAUACCCGAGUAGUC